rnacentral:rRNA from 1 species
GGAGAGGGCUAGCGUUAUUCGGAAUUAUUGGGCGUAAAGGGCGCGUAGGCGGAUUAGUAAGUUAAAAGUGAAAUCCCAAGGCUCAACCUUGGAAUUGCUUUUAAAACUGCUAAUCUAGAGAUUGAAAGAGGAUAGAGGAAUUCCUAGUGUAGAGGUGAAAUUCGUAAAUAUUAGGAGGAACACCAGUGGCGAAGGCGUCUAUCUGGUUCAAAUCUGACGCUGAGGCGCGAAGGCGUGGGGAGCAAACAGGAUUAGAUACCCUGGUAGUCCACGCUGUAAACGAUGAAUGUUAAAUAUUGGGAGUUUACUUUCUGUAUUACAGCUAACGCGUUAAACAUUCCGCCUGGGGACUACGGUCGCAAGAUUAAAACUCAAAGGAAUUGACGGGGACCCGCACAAGCGGUGGAGCAUGUGGUUUAAUUCGAUGCAACGCGAAAAACCUUACCACUCCUUGACAUGGAAAUUAUACCUAUUCGAAGGGAUAGGGUCGGUUCGGCCGGGUUUCACACAGGUGU